rnacentral:rRNA from 1 species
AUUGAACGCUGGCGGCAGGCUUAACACAUGCAAGUCGAACGGUAACAGAGAAGUGCUUGCACUUUUGCUGACGAGUGGCGGACGGGUGAGUAAUGCUUGGGAAUAUGCCAAAACGUGGGGGACAACAGUUGGAAACGACUGCUAAUACCGCAUAAUGUCUUCGGACCAAAGCAGGGGACCUUCGGGCCUUGCGCUAUUCGAUGAGCCUGCGUGAGAUUAGCUUGUUGGUGAGGUAAUGGCUCACCAAGGCGACGAUCUCUAGCUGGUCUGAGAGGAUGAUCAGCCACACUGGGACUGAGACACGGCCCAG